GACGAACGCUGGCGGCGUGCUUAACACAUGCAAGUCGAACGGACAGGCCCUGCUUUUGUGGGGUGCUCGAGUGGCGAACGGGUGAGUAACACGUGAGUAACCUGCCCUUGACUUUGGGAUAACUUCAGGAAACUGGGGCUAAUACCGGAUAGGAGCUCCUGCUGCAUGGUGGGGGUUGGAAAGUUUCGGCGGUUGGGGAUGGACUCGCGGGUUAACAGCUUGUUGGUGGGGUAGUGGCUUACCAAGGCUUUGACGGGUAGCCGGCCUGAGAGGGUGACCGGCCACAUGGGGACUGAGAUACGGCCCAGACUCCUACGGGAGGCAGCAGUGGGGAAUAUUGCACAAUGGGCGGAAGCCUGAUGCAGCAACGCCGCGUGCGGGAUGACGGCCUUCGGGUUGUAAACCGCUUUCGCCUGUGACGAAGCGUGAGUGACGGUAAUGGGUAAAGAAGCACCGGCUAACUACGUG
rnacentral:rRNA from 1 species